rnacentral:rRNA from 1 species
GGAUGGGCCUGCGUCUGAUUAGCUAGUUGGUGGGGUAACGGCCUACCAAGGCAACGAUCAGUAGCCGACCUGAGAGGGUAAUCGGCCACAUUGGAACUGAGACACGGUCCAAACUCCUACGGGAGGCAGCAGUGGGGAAUAUUGCACAAUGGGCGAAAGCCUGAUGCAGCAACGCCGCGUGAGCGAUGAAGGCCUUUGGGUCGUAAAGCUCUGUCCUUGGGGAAGAAAAAAAUGACGGUACCCUUGGAGGAAGCCCCGGCUAACUACGUGCCAGCAGCCGCGGUAAUACGUAGGGGGCAAGCGUUAUCCGGAAUUAUUGGGCGUAAAGAGUGCGUAGGUGGUUUUGUAAGCGCGGGGUGAAAGGCAAUGGCUCAACUAUUGUAAGCCCUGCGAACUGUGAGACUUGAGUGCAGGAGAGGAAAGUGGAAUUCCUAGUGUAGCGGUGAAAUGCGUAGAUAUUAGGAGGAACACCAGUGGCGAAGGCGGCUUUCUGGACUGUAACUGACACUGAGGCACGAAAGCGUGGGGAGCAAACAGGAUUAGAUACCCUGGUAGUCCACGCCGUAAACGAUGAGCACUAGGUGUCGGGGCCGCAAGGUUUCGGUGCCGCAGUUAACGCCAUUAA